rnacentral:misc_RNA from 1 species
UUUCCGUAGGUGAACCUGCGGAAGGAUCAUUCACAAGAAGUGUUUGUAUGGCACUUUAAAAUUCACAUACACCUUGUGUGUAACGCUUUGAGGUCCUUUUCUCAUUUCUCCGGCUUCAGAAUGUUUGUUCUACAGCUGCGGAAGUCAAGAUAAGGAGGCUUUAUAUAUCUUAACUCUUGAUCUUUAACAAAUUUGUCUGAAGUUCUAUUACGAAUUAACUUUCAAAAUCAAUACAACUUUCAACAACGGAUCUCUUGGCUCUC